rnacentral:rRNA from 1 species
CGACUUUCAGCAAGGGAUGUCUUGGCUCCCGCAACGAUGAAGAACGCAGCGAAAUGCGAUACUUAAUGUGAAUUGCAGAAUUCAGUGAAUCAUCGAAUCUUUGAACGCAUAUUGCGCUUCCGGGAAAUUCCUGGGAGCAUGCUUGUUUGAGUGCCUG